rnacentral:rRNA from 1 species
UACGAAGGGUGCUAGCGUUGCUCGGAAUCACUGGGCGUAAAGCGCGCGUAGGCGGAUUGGUAAGUCAGGGGUGAAAUCCUGGAGCUCAACUCCAGAACUGCCUUUGAUACUGGCGACCUUGAGUCCGGGAGAGGUGAGUGGAACUGCGAGUGUAGAGGUGAAAUUCGUAGAUAUUCGCAAGAACACCAGUGGCGAAGGCGGCUCACUGGCCCGAUACUGACGCUGAGGUGCGAAAGCGUGGGAGCGAACAGG